rnacentral:rRNA from 1 species
UACGUAGGGUGCAAGCGUUAAUCGGAAUUACUGGGCGUAAAGCGUGCGCAGGCGGUUAUGUAAGACAGAUGUGAAAUCCCCGGGCUCAACCUGGGAACUGCAUUUGUGACUGCAUAGCUAGAGUACGGUAGAGGGGGAUGGAAUUCCGCGUGUAGCAGUGAAAUGCGUAGAUAUGCGGAGGAACACCGAUGGCGAAGGCAAUCCCCUGGACCUGUACUGACGCUCAUGACACGAAAGGCGUGGGGAGCAAACGAGG